AACGAACGCUGGCGGCAUGCCUAACACAUGCAAGUCGAACGAGACCUUCGGGUCUAGUGGCGCACGGGUGCGUAACGCGUGGGAACCUGCCUUUAGGUUCGGAAUAACUCAGAGAAAUUUGAGCUAAUACCGGAUGAUGUCUUCGGACCAAAGAUUUAUCGCCUUUAGAUGGGCCCGCGUUGGAUUAGCUAGUUGGUGGGGUAAAGGCCUACCAAGGCGACGAUCCAUAGCUGGUCUGAGAGGAUGAUCAGCCACACUGGGACUGAGACACGGCCCAGACUCCGACGGGAGGCAGCAGUGGGGAAUAUUGGACAAUGGGCGAAAGCCUGAUCCAGCAAGGCCGCGUGAGUGAUGAAGGCCUUAGGGUUGUAAAGCUCUUUUACCCGAGAUGAUAAUGACAGUAUCGGGAGAAUAAGCUCCGGCUAACUCCGU
rnacentral:rRNA from 1 species